rnacentral:rRNA from 1 species
UGGGGAAUAUUGGACAAUGGGGGCAACCCUGAUCCAGCAAUGCCGCGUGAGUGAUGAAGGCCUUAGGGUUGUAAAGCUCUUUCGCACGCGACGAUGAUGACGGUAGCGUGAGAAGAAGCCCCGGCUAACUCCGUGCCAGCAGCCGCGGUAAUACGGAGGGGGCUAGCGUUGUUCGGAAUUACUGGGCGUAAAGGGCGCGCAGGCGGCUUUCCAAGUCAGGCGUGAAAGGCCUGGGCUCAACCCGGGAAUUGCGUUUGAGACUGGAAGGCUUGAGUACGGGAGAGGAUGGUGGAAUUCCCAGUGUAGAGGUGAAAUUCGUAGAUAUUGGGAAGAACACCGGUGGCGAAGGCGGCCAUCUGGACCGUUACUGACGCUGAGGCGCGAAAGCGUGGGGAGCAAACAGGAUUAGAUACCCCCGUAGUCC